UACGAAGGGGGCUAGCGUUGCUCGGAAUUACUGGGCGUAAAGCGCACGUAGGCGGAUCUUUAAGUCAGGGGUGAAAUCCUGGGGCUCAACUCCAGAACUGCCUUUGAUACUGAGGGUCUUGAGUUCGGGAGAGGUGAGUGGAACUGCGAGUGUAGAGGUGAAAUUCGUAGAUAUUCGCAAGAACACCAGUGGCGAAGGCGGCUCACUGGCCCGAUACUGACGCUGAGGUGCGAAAGCGUGGGGAGCAAACAGG
rnacentral:rRNA from 1 species